rnacentral:rRNA from 1 species
AGAGUUUGAUCCUGGCUCAGGACGAACGCUGGCGGCGUGCCUAACACAUGCAAGUCGAGCGAGGACGGGUCUUCGGACUCGAGCCGAGCGGCGGACGGGUGAGUAACACGUGAGCAACCUGCCCCUGUGCGGGGGAUAACCCGGGGAAACUCGGGCUAAUACCGCAUGGUCGGCCCUGCCGCAUGGUGGGGCUGGGAAAGGCGGCCUCUCAUGGAAGCUGCCGUGCAGGGAGGGGCUCGCGGCCUAUCAGUUGGUUGGUGGGGUAACGGCCUACCAAGGCGACGACGGGUAGCGGGUUUGAGAGGACGACCCGCCACAUUGGGACUGAGACACGGCCCAGCUCCUACGGGAGGCAGCAGUGGGGAAUCUUGCGCAAUGGCCGAGAGGCUGACGCAGCGACGCCGCGUGCGGGAGGAAGCCCUUCGGGGUGUAAACCGCUGUCACCGGGGACGAAUGUCGUGUGACCGAACAGGGAGCACGGUUGACGGUAC